UACGGGGGGGGCAAGCGUUGUUCGGAAUUACUGGGCGUAAAGGGCUCGUAGGCGGCCAACUAAGUCGGACGUGAAAUCCCCAGGCUCAACCUGGGAACUGCGUCCGAUACUGGAUGGCUUGAAUCCGGGAGAGGGAUGCAGAAUUCCAGGUGUAGCGGUGAAAUGCGUAGAUAUCUGGAGGAACACCGAUGGCGAAGGCAGCCCCCUGGGUUAACACUGACGCUCAUGCACGAAAGCGUGGGGAGCAAACAGG
rnacentral:rRNA from 1 species